AGGACGAACGCUGGCGGCGUGCUUAACACAUGCAAGUCGUGGGCAUCUCGCAAGGGAUGACCGGCGAACGGGUGCGUAACACGUGAGCGACCUACCGAUGCGCGGGGGGAUAGCCGGCCCAACGGCCGGGUAAUACCGCAUACGCCAUUCUAGCUGCAUGGCUUGAAUGGGAAACCUCCGGGGCGGAUCGAGGGGCUCGCGACCUAUCAGCUAGUUGGCGGGGUAACGGCCCACCAAGGCGACGACGGGUAGCUGGUCUGAGAGGAUGGCCAGCCACAUUGGGACUGAGAAACGGCCCAGACUCCUACGGGAGGCAGCAGUGGGGAAUAUUGCGCAAUGGCCGCAAGGCUGACGCAGCGACGCCGCGUGUGGGAUGAAGCCCUUCGGGGUGUAAACCACUGUUGCCCGGGACGAACGAGGAGAUUUAUCUCCUGUGACGGUACCGGGUGAGGAAGCACCGGCUAACUCCGUGCCAGCAGCCGCGGU
rnacentral:rRNA from 1 species